rnacentral:rRNA from 1 species
AGCAGCCGCGGUAAUUCCAGCUCCAAUAGCGUAUAUUAAAGUUGUUGCAGUUAAAAAGCUCGUAGUUGAAUUUCGGGGUUAGUAGGUUGGUCAUGCCUCUGGUAUGUACUGAUCUCACUGAUUCCUCCUUCCUUAUGAACCGUAAUGCCAUUAAUUUGGUGUUGCGGGGAAUUUGGACUGUUACUUUGAAAAAAUUAGAGUGUUUAAAGCAGGCUAACGCUUGAAUACAUUAGCAUGGAAUAAUGAAAUAGGACGUUCGAUCUUAUUUUGUUGGUUUCUAGGAUUGACGUAAUGAUUAAUAGGGAUAGUUGGGGGCAUUAGUAUUCAAUUGUCAGAGGUGAAAUUCUUGGAUUUAUUGAAGACUAACUACUGCGAAAGCAUUUGCCAAGGAUGUUUUCAUUAAUCAAGAACGAAAGUUAGGGGAUCGAAGACGAUCAGAUACCGUCGUAGUCUUAACCAUAAACUAUGCCGACUAGGGAUCGGAUGAUGUUAAUUUUUAAUGACUCAUUCGGCGCCUUAC